CAGUCGCCGCGGUAAUACAGAGGGUGCAAGCGUUAAUCGGAAUUACUGGGCGUAAAGCGCGCGUAGGUGGUUUGUUAAGUUGGAUGUGAAAUCCCCGGGCUCAACCUGGGAACUGCAUCCAAAACUGGCAAGCUAGAGUAUGGUAGAGGGUGGUGGAAUUUCCUGUGUAGCGGUGAAAUGCGUAGAUAUAGGAAGGAACACCAGUGGCGAAGGCGACCACCUGGACUGAUACUGACACUGAGGUGCGAAAGCGUGGGGAGCAAACAGGAUUAGAUACCCCUGUAGUCCCUGUCUCUUAUAU
rnacentral:rRNA from 1 species